AGAUUGAACGCUGGCGGCAUGCUUUACACAUGCAAGUCGAACGGUAACAGGCCGCAAGGUGCUGACGAGUGGCGAACGGGUGAGUAAUGCAUCGGAACGUGCCCAGUCGUGGGGGAUAACGCAGCGAAAGCUGUGCUAAUACCGCAUACGAUCUAUGGAUGAAAGCGGGGGACCGAAAGGCCUCGCGCGAUUGGAGCGGCCGAUGUCAGAUUAGCUUAGUUGGGUAGGGGUAAAGGCCCACCGAAGGCGACGAUCUGUAGCUGGUCUGGAGAGGACGACCAGCCACACGUGGAACUGAGACGACGGUCCACGACUCCGUACGGGAGGCAGGCAGGUGGGGAAUUUUGGACAAGUGGG
rnacentral:rRNA from 1 species